rnacentral:rRNA from 1 species
GAUGAACGCUAGCGGCAGGCCUAACACAUGCAAGUCGAGGGGUAUUAGGAGCUUGCUCCUAAGAGACCGGCGCACGGGUGCGUAACGCGUAUGCAAUCUACCUUGUACAGGGGAAUAGCCCAGAGAAAUUUGGAUUAAUGCCCCAUAGCAUAAUUGAAUCGCAUGGUUUAAUUAUUAAAGUUCCAACGGUACAAGAUGAGCAUGCGUCCCAUUAGUUAGUUGGUAAGGUAACGGCUUACCAAGACAAUGAUGGGUAGGGGUCCUGAGAGGGAGAUCCCCCACACUGGUACUGAGACACGGACCAGACUCCUACGGGAGGCAGCAGUGAGGAAUAUUGGUCAAUGGGCGCAAGCCUGAACCAGCCAUGCCGCGUGCAGGAAGACGGUCCUAUGGAUUGUAAACUGCUUUUAUACAGGAAGAAACAACUCUACGUGUAGAGUCUUGACGGUACUGUAGGAAUAAGGAUCGGCUAACUCCGUGCCAGCAGCCG